UUUGUUUUUACAUUAAUAUAUAGUUUUCUCGAAUAUAGAUAUCCAGGAAUUCAAUCAUAGAAAAAUUCAACUGUAUUUGUGUGUGUGUGUGUGGUGUGUGGUGUGUACACGUGGGAGCUGGGGGGCUGAACACAGCAUUCUGUGCGUGCUAAGUAAUCUACCGCUGAGCCACAUCCCUAGCCCUCCUCCUUUUUAUUUUGAAACAGGAUAAGCAGACUUGCACUCACUCUAAAAAAUGAGGCAGGGCUUGACCUUGUGAUCCUCCUGCCUCAGCCUCCCCAGCAGCCGGGAUGACAGGCCUGUGACAGUAGAAGGGGCUCCCAUUUAGCCCUUUGAGGCUCUGUGCAGCCAUUCUCCCUUAGAGACCCUGCUGCUGCACCCUGCACACUGCUGCAAGCUCCCUCUGCCCCAGUUGCUACCACAGUUGUCUCUGCUGAACCCCACAAACCUGGUGAGGCACUAAGAGUCCACACCGGGGGAACACCCACUGUGGCUUCCAUUUCUGCUGAGUUCUAACUAGGGCUUGAGUUCAGACCUGUGGGUGGUAACCUUAGAGGACUUUCUAGGGAGCAAGACAGGGGCUCUGGAAUGUUCUGUGUUCAUCUGGGGGCGGAUUGCACAAGUGUGUACACUUGGUGAGGAUUCAUCCCCGUCUGUAGGAUGUGUGUCUGAAGACAUUUUUAAUGAGCUGCUCUCAGGGUGUAGUAGCUGUGCUGAUCGGGUGCACAGCUCACGUUUCUGCCACGAGGGGCACUUGUAUGUAUCUCAAGAACAGGAAGCAGCACCAAGAACCUUGUUUCAGAGCCUGGCUCAGUCACUGCUGAGUAUGGGACCUUGGGCCAGUUGGUCACUUCUCCUCUUGAGCCUCAGUUUCCUGCCCUGUCUCUGUUUGGUUCCUCGCUUCAUAGAACCCUCAGAAGUUUCCAAGAGACGGGGUCUGGGGGGAUGGCUUGUUGGGUAAGAAGACCAGAGUUCAAUUCCCAGAGGCCACAUACAACAUAAAAGCUAAGUGUGGGUUCCAGAAGUGUGUGACCCCAGGGCUGGGGAGGCGGAGACAGACCUGUGAACCCCUGAGGCUCACUGGGCAGACAGCCUAGCCUACUCAGUAGCUCCAGGCAGGGAGAGACCCCACCACACACACAAACAACAAGGUCAGGACUGGAGAGGUGGCUUGAUGUCUAAGAGCAGCCAGGUUCAGCUCCCAGCACAUACAUGGCUCAUAACCAGCUGUGACUCCAGCCCCAGGAGAUCCAGCGUCCUCUUCCAGCCUCCUUAGACUCUGCAUAUGUGUGCUAUGCAUUCACAAAGAUUCAAAGUGGGGGAAAAAAUCAGCUGACGUGGUGAUAAAUGCCUUUAGCCAGGUGGAUCUCUGUGAAUCUGAGGCCAGCCUGAUCUGUAAAGCAAGCUCCAGGCCAACCAGGGCUACAUUGUGAGACCUUGUCUGAAAAAAAAAAAAAAUCUAAAAAUAAAUAACUAAACGAAAAGGGUGGAAGGUAUCUAAGGACUGGCAGCUGAGGCUGUUCUCUGGCCCACACUAGACACACAAGUGAGCAUACAGAAACCACGUUUUAAAACAGGGAGAUUAUAAAGCACGAGGGAACUCAGAAAGAAUUGCUUGCAUACAGCACAUUUCCCCAGAAGCAGAGGGGGAGGUGGGGGGCCAGGUCUAGGAUUCCACUUGAGGUAGACAGACCUUGAAGACCCAGAGCUCUGGACCUUUGCGACCGAAACCCCGCCCAUCUUUUGCUCUAUUGGUCGGUUACCUGCAACCUCCCCCAGGUUCCUAUCACCUCUUCCUAUACGAUCUCAUUGGUGCAGUUGCUCAAAAGGCUCAAGGGACGGGAGUUUGUGUCCUUCUGACUCCGGCCCCCCAGAUAGCUCUAGGUGCUUCCACACAUCUCUAUGCAGGCUGCAGGGGAUGUGUCCCGCUCAGUCCCGUUUACCAAGGGUCCGAUGACAAGAUUGCUGCCUUGCCACCCGAGUCUGUCCUGGAGACUUUUCCUAUUAUUAACCGUCCUUUGCUUGGGGAGUGGGACCUGUGCUGUUUAUGUAUCUGUCCCCUACGAUGGCUCAGAGCCACUUAGGUCAGCUGUAGAUUCAGAGUCUACCCGAGAUAAGAUCGCCCUUCCCUAAGCUCCUCCCCUUUCCGAGCCCCGCCUUCUGCUGGCUGUGUUUGGGCUUUUACAGACUUUUUUUUUUCAAAUUGACUUUGGCUUCUUGGCCUGAACUCUGAAGUGCUUGCUGAUAAGAUACGAGCUUGGCUGAGGCUGAGGGGCUGAGAGAGAGGGAAGGCAGGGAGCACAGGGGGCAGGAGAGGCGGGGCUUGGAGACGAAGUACCUAGUAACUGUGGGCAGUGGGCUGUGUGUCCUUGGUGGUGGGUCACGGUCUGCCUUAGGAGGAAAAGAAGUUGGUGGUGGCCACACCCCAGCCGUGGGCCCCCAGUUUCUCACUACCUCCUAGGGCAGCUAGAUCAAACAUGUGGCCAUCUUUGCAGCUUCCCGAGCUAAACCAGACCCUCUGGGCAAGUUAGAGCAACGUCCCACAGGUCUGAAGGCAUAGCCCAAAGAGAUUUGCACCCUUCUGGCAAAGAAGCUGAUUCCACGAGUACCCACAUGGCGUGGUAGGCCGAAUGUCACUAUUUCAACCGUGCGGAUAUACAUCCAUGGUCAACUCUUUGUGGUGUUUGCCUGCUAGACAGUGAUCUGGGCUAGAACAGGGGACUAAACCCAUCCAGAGGGCUGAGAGAGAAGGAUGCUGGACUGGGGAAGGGCUCCGUUGGUAGUGCGAAUGGUCAGCUUGCUCAACAUGCAAGGCUGAUUCCAUCCCUGGUGUGGCAUAAACCAAGCACAGUGGUGCUGUGUGGAUCUCAGCACUCCGCAAGCUGGAACCGGAGAGUCAGAACUUUAAAGUCACCCUUGCUGGCCUGGGUUUCAUGAGGCUCUGUCACCAAAAAUGUGCUUGUGAUCUGGUGUGUAGGUGGACAGGUAGGUAGCAGGUCAGAGCAGGGGACACUGCAAGGCCUCCCCAGGCAUGUCAGGUCCUGCUUGAACUCUCUGGCUCCCCAGGAAAUCUAAAACGCUGAAGGCCACCACCCAGUCCUGCCCCUCCCUAGCCAGAGUCCAGAGCGCUGGUCUCUGCCUGCUGCCCUCACCUCCCACCUCCCACUCACGUCAGCUCCUCCUCCCGGAUGCUCCAAACGAUCCAGGUCCCUCUUCCAGAGGAUCAUCUGUAGCCACAGCCUCCCUGACCAAGCUCCGGUUUGCAUGAAUGGCCAGGAUGGCCAGAGCCCAGGCUCUGUGGGUGACCCAGUAGUAUCCCAUGCUACCUCAGUUCCCCCAUCUGGAGAGCAGGCAGUGAUAGUACAUAUGUCACAUCGGGAUGGGAGGAAGAUGACAGUUAACACACAUGUUUAGAGGUGCCAGGCAUCAGUCAGCGCCAUUAUUACACCCGGCUCCCCAUCCCACCCCCCAAAGCCUCAACACGGUUCACUUCACAUCUGGCAGACAAACUAAAGUGACCCCCAGAUAUGUUCAUGAAGAUGAUUAGGGGAAGGAGGGCCUGGGACAGAAAAACCCCACAGGACUAACACACACACACACACACACACACACACACACACACACACACACACACACAAACAUGCGCGCGGGCGCGCCUCAGGAGCCUGGCUUGGAGGAAGAAAACAACACUAUCUUGUUUUCCUGUGGUCGCAGCGGAAGGGAUGAAACAAGAAAUUUUUUCCCUCUCUCACGUUUGAUGUGUUUUCCUAAUGUCCUCCAGAAGCAGUUUCUAUUGAAAUGGGAACUUCAAUCACAGCGGAUCCAGCAACGAAUGGGCCAUGGCCUCCCUUUCUGUCGCUGUUCCCACACGGGGGCCAGAAGUGGUGGGUCCCUUCAGAGUGAUGAAGGAGAUGGGGAGGCAGUGCUGGGGCAUGGGGCUUGGUGCUAGACAGUCACAAGCUGACCCCAGAGCUUUGGGGUGUUCUGAUACCACCCCACAAAAAGCCUGCUGAGACCAUUUGAGAGCAAAGUCCUCAGCUGGGCCUCCCUGGUCACCAUCCCUGCCCCCAGGUGUCUGGAUGUGCUUUGUUGGCUUUCUGUGCAACCCUGUCAAAGGCGACAUUAUGAAGUGCCCAGUGGUCCCAAGGGAGCUGAAUAGAGGAGCCCCCUGGUGAUAGAGCCAGCCUCUGUCUCGCUUCUCCAUUUACGCCUUUGCCCUGUGAUUUCUGCCAUGUUUUGAAGCAUGCAGAUGGGACCUCGUGACUUUGGACUUUCCUUCCUGUAGAACUGUGGGCCAAGAUAACCCACAGUUACUUAACAGCUACCAGGCCUCCAGGAUUUUGUCACAGCAAUGGAAAAUGGAAAAGGCAGCCUGUGACACAGAAGGAAAACAGGCUCCAACAUUUAAGAGUUCGCCCGUGACAGCUGACAGAUAGAAUCGGAGUGGAACGCCGUUUGGUUCUAUCUUUGUCUCUGGUUUUCUUCUCAUGUCCGAGGGACUGCACGAUGGCCUUCUGGAGGACAGGAAUUGGAUACUGGCCUUCACCGUGACCCGAGGACGUGGCCUAGGGUUUGGUAGACAAAAAGAACCCAUGAGGACAGUGUGGGGACCAAACUGACGGGUAGAUGACGGGUGAGAGAGUGGAUGAAGGAUGGAUUGAUGAAGGAUGGGCAGAUAGGGGAAGGGCAGAUGGUUGAUGGGCGGGGGUGUGUGUGUGUGUGUAUGUGUGUGUAUAGUGAGUGGGUAGAUGGUGUGUGGGUGGUGGAAGGGUGAGUGGAUAGUGGGUGGGUGAGUAGGUGGAAGGACAGGUGAAUGACAGAUUAGUAGACAAUAGAAGGGUGGGACACCCAUGACAAGUAGAAGAAACCAUUGCUGAGUGGCAGAGGAGAACACGUCUGUCCCUGGCGACUGUCCCUGUGUCCUGGGGAAGUCUGUGGUCCGGCAGCUCUCAGCAGCAGCAGGCUCCAGUUGUGAGCUGUCUUCCCGGAGUUUUAAUUUCUUAAUGAACUCCCAUUAAACAUUAGGAAACUCACAUGAAAGUGUUUAUAGAUUUUCUUGCAAAACUGAAUCAGAAACAAUGAUCUUGGCCCCAGGGGACCCCCACUCCCCAUCUCCCAGGCACCAGUGUUCUCC
rnacentral:lncRNA from 1 species